GACGAACGCUGGCGGCGUGCCUAAUACAUGCAAGUCGAACGCAGUGGGGACGGGUGAGUAACACGUGGGUAACCUCCCAUCAGAGGGGAGAACACUUGGAAACAGGUGCUAAACCGAUACUGCUUGAUGGAGCGGCGGGGCAUUAGCUAGUUGGUGAGGUAACGGCGCACCAAGGCCACGAUGCCUAGCCGACCUGAGAGGGUGAUCGGCCACACUGGGACUGAGACACGGCCCAGACUCCUACGGGAGGCAGCAGUAGGGAAUCUUCGGCAAUGGACGAAAGUCUGACCGAGCAACGCCGCGUGAGUGAAGAAGGUUUUCGGAUCGUAAAACUCUGUUGUUUGAGAAGCGGUAUCUAAACAGAAAGCCACGGCUAACUACGUGCCAGCAGCCGCGGUAAUUC
rnacentral:rRNA from 1 species